UGAAGAAAUUCAACCAAG
rnacentral:snRNA from 1 species